rnacentral:lncRNA from 1 species
GAGAGGGCGACGCUGGCGUGCAGAGAGGUGUGGGUGCGGCGGCUCGCAGUGAGGGUGGCGGCAGCGGGCAGCGAGGAGGUCGCGGCGGGCAGCAAGGUGGGGGCGACGGCGGCGUGCAGAGAGGGGGGCGCGGCGCCUUGCGGCCAGGGCGGCAGCUCACGGAGAGGGCGAUGCUGGCGUGCAGAGAGGUGUGGGUGCGGCGGCUCGCGGCGAGGGCGACCUACGAGGGCGGCCGCAGCGGGGAGCGAGGAGGGCACCACGGCUCACUGCGAGGAGCGGGUACCAAGGAGGGCGUGGCUUCGCUGCGAAGGUGGAGGGCGCGUCGGCAGGCUUGGGGGCGGAGACCGCGGCGGCGCAGCAAAAUCACUGGUCG